rnacentral:rRNA from 1 species
AUACGUAGGUGACAAGCGUUAUCCGGAUUUACUGGGCGUAAAGGGCGUGUAGGCGGUCUUGCAAGUCAGAAGUGAAAUUCCUGAGCUCAACUCGGGCGCUGCUUCUGAAACUGCAGGACUUGAGUGCUGGAGGGGAUAGCGGAAUUCCUAGUGGAGCGGUAAAAUGCGCAGAUAUUAGGAAGAACACCGGUGGCGAAGGCGGCUAUCUGGACAGUAACUGACGCUGAGGCGCGAAAGCGUGGGGAGCAAACAGGAUUAGAUACCCUGGUAGUCCACACUGUAAACGAUGAAUGCUAGGUGUAAGAGGUAUCGACCCCUUUUGUGCCGGAGUUAACACAAUAAGCAUUCCGCCUGGAGAGUACGGCCGCAAGGUUGAAACUCAAAUGAAUUGGCGGGG